UUAGCGGCGGACGGGUGAGUAACACGUGCGGCAACCUGCCCUGCAGAUCGGGAUAACUCCGGGAAACCGGUGCUAAUACCGAAUAGUUUUUUGCCCCUCCUGGGGCGAAACGGAAAGACGGUUUCGGCUGUCACUGCAGGAUGGGCCCGCGGCGCAUUAGCUAGUUGGUGGGGUAAUGGCCCACCAAGGCGACGAUGCGUAGCCGACCUGAGAGGGUGAUCGGCCACACUGGGACUGAGACACGGCCCAGACUCCUACGGGAGGCAGCAGUAGGGAAUCUUCCGCAAUGGACGCAAGUCUGACGGAGCAACGCCGCGUGAGUGACGAAGGUUUUCGGAUCGUAAAACUCUGUUGUGAGGGAAGAACAAGUACCAAGUAACUACUGGUACCUUGACGGUACCUCACCAGAAAGCCACGGCUAACUACGUGCCAGCAG
rnacentral:rRNA from 1 species